UACGGGGGGGGCAAGCGUUGUUCGGAAUUACUGGGCGUAAAGGGCUCGUAGGCGGCCAACUAAGUCAGACGUGAAAUCCCUCGGCUUAACCGGGGAACUGCGUCUGAUACUGGAUGGCUUGAGGUUGGGAGAGGGAUGCGGAAUUCCAGGUGUAGCGGUGAAAUGCGUAGAUAUCUGGAGGAACACCGGUGGCGAAGGCGGCAUCCUGGACCAAUUCUGACGCUGAGGAGCGAAAGCCA
rnacentral:rRNA from 1 species